ACUGUCUGCUUGAUUUAGGAUAAUGUCAUAUGUUUUUAUAGUGUCAUUUUUAACAAGAAUAGCUUUGUUUUGUGUAGAUUCGUAUGUUGGAUUUAGUGCUUAAGGCAUCACCUCAAGAUUCUAAGGAGCCUCAAACCGCUCGCAUCCUUCUUUACAAGUUAUUCUAUGAUCAAACUGAUCAAGGAAUGACUCAGUUCCUUUUAAACCAAAUCAAAUCAUUUGAUACUCAUAAACAAGCCAAAAGGUGAUGAAGUAAAAGCUGGGCAGCCUCUUAAGGUCAAUCUUGAAGUAGGCAGCGUCAUACACAUUUCCCAGGCAGCACUGGGUGAAGGAAAGAAGGGAAAAGGAAAUGACAUUGUCCCUCUUCAAGUGAAUAUUAAUGGCAAGAAAUUAGUUCUAGGAUCACUUUCUGCAGGGAAGUUCCCUCAAGUUUCAUUUGAUUUGGUGUUUAAGAAAGAAUUUGAGCUGUCACAUGACUGGAAAGAUGGGAGUGUCUACUUUUGUGGAUAUUCGGCAGAUAAUCAGUUUGAAUAUCCUUUACAUUUGUUCCUAGCUAACACCGGACAAGCCUCUUUCCUUAGGAAGCACAAUUAGUACGACUACUGCCAAGAUCGGACAUGCAUACGGAGGAUGGAUUGCUGACACACUUGUGAGCAAAGGUCUUUCCGUAACAACAGUUCGUAAG